rnacentral:rRNA from 1 species
AUUGAACGCUGGCGGCAGGUCUAACACAUGCAAGUCGAGCGAGCGGCGGACGGGUGAGUAAUGUAUGGGGACUGCCCGAUAGAGGGGGAUAACUACUGGAAACGGUGGCUAAUACCGCAUACUAUCGGAUAACCCAUAUGGGAUUAGCUAGUAGGUGGGGUAAAGGCUCACCUAGGCGACGAUCUCUAGCUGGUCUGAGAGGAUGAUCAGCCAAUCUGGUACUGAGCAACGGCCCAGACUCCGACGGAGGCAGCAGUGGGGAUUAUUGCACAAUGGGCGCAAGCCGGAUGCAGCCAUGCCGGGUGUAUGAAGAAGGCUUUAGGGUGGUAAAGUACGUUCAGCGGGGAGGCGUUACCGAAAGAAGAAGCACCGGCUAACUCCGUGCCAGCAGCCGCGGUAAUAC